CAAAAUCGCCGUUUUUUGCCCCAAAACCGCGGAAUUUUUUACCCCCACCUGCCCCAGGUGUGUCCCACCUGUCCCAGGUGAGUCUCACCUGCAUCCCACCUGUCCCACAUCAUUUUGUCACCUCCAAAAUA
rnacentral:lncRNA from 1 species